rnacentral:rRNA from 1 species
UACGAAGGAUGCAAGCGUUAUCCGGAUUUAUUGGGUUUAAAGGGAGCGUAGGCGGUCUUAUAAGUCAGUGGUGAAAUCUCGUUGCUUAACAACGACCGUGCCAUUGAUACCGUAGGACUUGAGUACAGUUGCCGUUGGCGGAAUGUGUCAUGUAGCGGUGAAAUGCAUAGAUAUGACACAGAACACCGAUUGCGGAGGCAGCUGACGAAACUGUAACUGACGCUGAGGCUCGAAAGCGUGGGGAUCAAACAGG